UACGAAGGGGGCUAGCGUUGCUCGGAAUUACUGGGCGUAAAGGGCGCGCAGGCGGCCUAUCAAGUCAGACGUGAAAGCCCCGGGCUCAACCUGGGAACUGCAUUUGAGACUGAUAGGCUUGAGUUCGGGAGAGGAGAGCGGAAUUCCCAGUGUAGAGGUGAAAUUCGUAGAUAUUGGGAAGAACACCGGUGGCGAAGGCGGCUCUCUGGGCCGAUACUGACGCUGAGGCGCGAAAGCGUGGGGAGCAAACAGG
rnacentral:rRNA from 1 species